GACGAACGCUGGCGGCGUGCUUAAUACAUGCAAGUCGAACGGAAAGGCCCUGCUUUUGUUGGUUUCUCGUUUGGCGAACGGGUGUGUAACACGUGUGUAACCUGUCCUUGACUUUGGGAUAACUUCAGGAAACUGCGGCUAAUAUCGGAUAUGAUCUCCUGCUGCAUGUUGUUGGUUGGAAAGUUUCGGCGGUUGUGUAUGGACUCGCUGGUUAUCAGCUUGUUGGUGGGGUAGUGGCUUACCAAGGCUUUGACGGGUAGCCUGCCUGGGAGGGUGACCGGGCACAAUGGGACUGAGAUAGGGACCAGACUCCAACGGGCGGCAGCAGUGGGGAAUCUUGCGGAAUGGGGGGAAGUCUGAUGCAGAAGCGCCCGGUGCGGGAUGCCGGGCUUCGGGUUGUAAACAGAUUUCGAAUGUGACGAAGCGUGAGUGACGGUAAUGGGUCAAGAAGCACCGGCUAACUACGUG
rnacentral:rRNA from 1 species